rnacentral:rRNA from 1 species
CCUACGGGGGGCAGCAGUGGGGAAUAUUGGACAAUGGGGGGAACCCUGAUCCAGCGACGCCGCGUGAGUGAAGAAGUAUUUCGGUAUGUAAAGCUCUAUCAGCAGGGAAGAAAGAAAUGACGGUACCUGACUAAGAAGCCUCGGCUAACUACGUGCCAGCAGCCGCGGUAAUACGUAGGGGGCAAGCGUUAUCCGGAUUUACUGGGUGUAAAGGGAGCGUAGACGGCGAUGCAAGUCUGAAGUGAAAGGCGGGGGCGCAACCCCUGGACUGCUUUGGAAACUGGAUGGCUGGAGUGCAGGAGAGGUAAGUGGAAUUCGUAGUGUAGCGGUGAAAUGCGUAGAUAUUAGGAGGAACACCAGUGGCGAAGGCGGCUUACUGGACUGUAACUGACGUUGAGGCUCGAAAGCGUGGGGAGCAAACAGGAUUAGAUACCCGAGUAGUC